CCUACGGGAGGCAGCAGUAGGGAAUUUUCGGCAAUGGGGGGAACCCUGACCGAGCAACGCCGCGUGAACGAAGAAGUUAUUCGUAAUGUAAAGUUCUUUUAACAGGGAAGAAAGAGAAAUUUGACGGUACCUGAAGAAUAAGCCCCGGCUAACUACGUGCCAGCAGCCGCGGUAAUCCGUAGGGAGCGAGCGUUAUCCGGAAUUAUUGGGCGAAAGGGGUGGGUAGAUGGCAUAGUAAGUCUUUUGUAAAAAUGCUGGGCUCAACCCAGUAGGGCAAAAGAUACUGUAAAGCUAGAGUAUGACAGAGGCAAGUGGAACUACAUGUGUAGCGGUAAAAUGCGUAAAUAUAAGUAAGAACACCAGUGGCGAAGGCAGCUUGCUGGGUCGAUACUGACAUUGAGGCACGAAAGCGUGGGGAGCGAACAGGAUUAGAUACCCCUGUAGUC
rnacentral:rRNA from 1 species